GCGUUGUUCGGAAUUACUGGGCGUAAAGGGCGCGUAGGCGGCCUGCUAAGUCACACGUGAAAUCCCUCGGCUCAACCGGGGAACUGCGUGUGAAACUGGCGAGCUUGAAUCCUGGAGAGGGUGACGGAAUUCCCGGUGUAGAGGUGAAAUUCGUAGAUAUCGGGAGGAACACCAGAGGCGAAGGCGGCCACCUGGACAGAGAUUGACGCUGAGACGCGAAAGCGUGGGGAGCAAACAGG
rnacentral:rRNA from 1 species